GGAGGACGCUCACCACUUUGUGGUUCAUGACUGGGGUGAAGUCGUAACAAGGUAGCGCUAGGGGAACCUGGCGCUGGAUCACCUCCUUAUACGAUGAU
rnacentral:rRNA from 3 species